GCCCUUAUAGCUCAGAGGUAGAGCGCAUCACUCGUACUUGUGGGUAUCACCACUUGGCAUGAUGAGGUCUCAGGUUCGACUCCUGAUGGGGGCA